GACGGAGGGUGCAAGCGUUGUUCGGAAUUACUGGGCGUAAAGGGCGCGUAGGCGGUCUGUUAAGUUCGGUGUGAAAGCCCCCGGCUCACCUGGGGAACUGCGCCGGAAACCGACAGACUCGAGUACCGGAGAGGAGGGUGGAAUUCCGUGGUGUAGCGGUGAAAUGCGUAGAUAUCAGGAGGAACACCGGUGGCGAAGGCGGCCCUCUGGACGGAUACUGACGCUGAGGCGCGAAAGCGUGGGGAGUCAAACA
rnacentral:rRNA from 1 species